rnacentral:rRNA from 1 species
UGCCUGUAAGACUGGGAUAACUUCGGGAAACCGAAGCUAAUACCGGAUAGGAUCUUCUCCUUCAUGGGAGAUGAUUGAAAGAUGGUUUCGGCUAUCACUUACAGAUGGGCCCGCGGUGCAUUACUAGUUGGUGAGGUAACGGCUCACCAAGGCAACGAUGCAUAGCCGACCUGAGAGGGUGAUCGGCCACACUGGGACUGAGACACGGCCCAAACUCCUACGGGAGGCAGCAGUAGGGAAUCUUCCGCAAUGGACGAAAGUCUGACGGAGCAACGCCGCGUGAGUGAUGAAGGCUUUCGGGUCGUAAAACUCUGUUGUUAGGGAAGAACAAGUACAAGAGUAACUGCUCGUACCUUGACGGUACCUAACCAGAAAGCCACGGCUAACUACGUGCCCA